rnacentral:rRNA from 1 species
GACGAACGCUGGCGGCGUGCUUAACACAUGCAAGUCGAACGGCAAGGCCCUGCUUUUGUGGGGUGCUCGAGUGGCGAACGGGUGCGUAACACGUGAGUAACCUGCUCUUGACUUUGGGAUAACUUCAGGUAACUGGGGCUAAUAUCGGAUAGGAGCUCCUGCUGCAUGGUGGGGGUUGGAAAGUUUCGGCGGUUGGGGAUGGACUCGCGGCUUAUCAGCUUGUUGGUGGGGUAGUGGCUUACCAAGGCUUUGACGGGUAGCCGGCCUGAGAGGGUGACCGGCCACAUUGGGACUGAGAUACGGCCCAGACUCCUACGGGAGGCAACAGUGGGGAAUAUUGCACAAUGGGCGGAAGCCUGAUGCAGCAACGCCGCGUGCGGGAUGACGGCCUUCGGGUUGUAAACCGCUUUCGCCUGUGACGAAGCGUGAGUGACGGUAAUGGGUAAAGAAGCACCGGCUAACUACGUG